GUGCUCGCUUUGGCAGCACAUAUACUAAAGUUGGAAUGAUACAGAGAAGAUUAGCAUGGCCCCUGCACAAAGAUGACAUGCAAAUUCGUGAAGUGUUCCAUAUUAAA